rnacentral:rRNA from 1 species
UGGGGGAUAUUGCACAAUGGGCGAAAGCCUGAUGCAGCGACGCCGCGUGGGGGAUGAAGGCUUUCGGGUUGUAAACCUCUUUCGCUAUCGAACAAGGCCCGCUUAGGGUGGGUUGAGGGUAGGUGGAGAAGAAGCGCCGGCUAACUACGUGCCAGCAGCCGCGGUAAUACGUAGGGCGCGAGCGUUGUCCGGAAUUAUUGGGCGUAAAGGGUUUGUAGGCGGCUUGUUGCGCCUGCUGUGAAAACGCGGGGCUUAACUUCGCGCGUGCAGUGGGUACGGGCAGGCUUGAGUGUGGUAGGGGUGACUGGAAUUCCAGGUGUAGCGGUGGAAUGCGCAGAUAUCUGGAGGAACACCGAUGGCGAAGGCAGGUCACUGGGCCAUUACUGACGCUGAGGAGCGAAAGCAUGGGUAGCGAAUAGG